rnacentral:rRNA from 1 species
GUGGGGAAUUUUGGACAAUGGGCGAAAGCCUGAUCCAGCCAUGCCGCGUGCAGGAUGAAGGCCUUCGGGUUGUAAACUGCUUUUGUACGGAACGAAAAGACUCCUUCUAAUAAAGGGGGUCCAUGACGGUACCGUAAGAAUAAGCACCGGCUAACUACGUGCCAGCAGCCGCGGUAAUACGUAGGGUGCAAGCGUUAAUCGGAAUUACUGGGCGUAAAGCGUGCGCAGGCGGUUAUAUAAGACAGAUGUGAAAUCCCCGGGCUCAACCUGGGAACUGCAUUUGUGACUGUAUAGCUAGAGUACGGUAGAGGGGGAUGGAAUUCCGCGUGUAGCAGUGAAAUGCGUAGAUAUGCGGAGGAACACCGAUGGCGAAGGCAAUCCCCUGGGCCUGCACUGACGCUCAUGCACGAAAGCGUGGGGAGCAAACAGGAUUAGAUACCCCAGUAGUCC